rnacentral:rRNA from 1 species
AUUGAACGCUGGCGGCAUGCCUUACACAUGCAAGUCGAACGGCAGCGGGGGAGAAGCUUGCUUUUCCUGCCGGCGAGUGGCGAACGGGUGAGUAAUACAUCGGAACGUGCCCUGUAGUGGGGGAUAACUAGUCGAAAGAUUAGCUAAUACCGCAUACGACCUGAGGGUGAAAGUGGGGGACCGCAAGGCCUCAUGCUAUAGGAGCGGCCGAUGUCUGAUUAGCUAGUUGGUGGGGUAAAGGCCUACCAAGGCGACGAUCAGUAGCUGGUCUGAGAGGACGAUCAGCCACACUGGGACUGAGACACGGCCCAGACUCCUACGGGAGGCAGCAGUGGGGAAUUUUGGACAAUGGGCGAAAGCCUGAUCCAGCAAUGCCGCGUGUGUGAAGAAGGCCUUCGGGUUGUAAAGCACUUUUGUCCGGAAAGAAAUGGCUCUGGUUUAUACCUGGGGUCGAUGACGGUACCGGAAGAAUAAGGACCGGCUAACUACGUGCCAGCAGCCGCGGUAAUAC